rnacentral:rRNA from 1 species
UGCUGGGCGGAUUAGUGGCGAACGGGUGAGUAAUACGUGAGUAACCUGCCCUUGACUCUGGGAUAAGCCUGGGAAACUGGGUCUAAUACUGGAUACUACCUCUUGCCGCAUGGUGGGUGGUGGAAAGGGUUUUACUGGUUUUGGAUGGGCUCACGGCCUAUCAGCUUGUUGGUGGGGUAAUGGCUCACCAAGGCGACGACGGGUAGCCGGCCUGAGAGGGUGACCGGCCACACUGGGACUGAGACACGGCCCAGACUCCUACGGGAGGCAGCAGUGGGGAAUAUUGCACAAUGGGCGGAAGCCUGAUGCAGCGACGCCGCGUGAGGGAUGACGGCCUUCGGGUUGUAAACCUCUUUCAGUAGGGAAGAAGCGAGAGUGACGGUACCUGCAGAAGAAGCGCCGGCUAACUACGUGCCAGCAGCCGCGGUAAUACGUAGGGCGCAAGCGUUGUCCGGAAUUAUUGGGCGUAAAGAGCUCGUAGGCGGUUUGUCGCGUCUGCUGUGAAAGCCCGGGGCUCAACCCCGGGUCUGCAGUGGGUACGGGCAGACUAGAGUGCAGUAGGGGAGACUGGAAUUCCUGGUGUAGCGGUGAAAUGCGCAGAUAUCAGGAGGAACACCGAUGGCGAAGGCAGGUCUCUGGGCUGUUACUGACGCUGAGGAGCGAAAGCAUGGGGAGCGAACAGGAUUAGAUACCCUGGUAGUCCAUGCCGUAAACGUUGGGCACUAGGUGUGGGGGACAUUCCACGUUUUCCGCGCCGUAGCUAACGCAUUAAGUGCCCCGCCUGGGGAGUACGGCCGCAAGGCUAAAACUCAAAGGAAUUGACGGGGGCC